AACGAACGCUGGCGGCAUGCCUAACACAUGCAAGUCGAACGAACCCUUCGGGGUUAGUGGCGCACGGGUGCGUAACGCGUGGGAACCUACCAUCAGGUUCGGAAUAACAGUUUAGAAAUGGACUGCUAAUACCGGAUAAUGUCUUCGGACCAAAGAUUUAUCGCCUUUUGAUGGGGCCCGCGUAAGAUUAGGUAGUUGGUGGGGUAAAAGCCUACCAAGCCGACGAUCUUUAGCUGGUCUGAGAGGAUGAUCAGCCACACUGGGACUGAGACACGGCCCAGGACUCCUACGGGAGGCAGCAGUGGGGAAUAUUGGACAAUGGGCGAAAGCCUGAUCCAGCAAUGCCGCGUGAGUGAUGAAGGCCUUA
rnacentral:rRNA from 1 species